rnacentral:tRNA from 1 species
GCUAGUGUAGCUUAAAUCAAAGCAUAACACUGAAAGAUGUUAAGAUGAAUCCUAAAAAAGAUUCCACAGGCA